ensembl:snoRNA
ACGCACUGUUCGUAAUCUGGUUCACUCUCCGUAUGAACUGUGGGUUCCAUUCCAGUGCCACAGUGAGCUCCAUUGAGGCAGGGGAGCAGAGCUGCUGUGACUGCUCCCUGUUCACUCUCUGGAAACAAGC